UCCUCCAAGCGAGAAUCCACGGUAAUCAUGUAUUGUUGCAGCAUGUGAUGAACCGCAACCGUUUGGCUAUCAAGUUUUGUUUGUAAAGCUUUAAUGGGCUCCAGAAUCUCUGAAUCAACCAUGAUGAGCAAAUAUCAAUGAAAACACCAAUGAUAUGCCACCUGUGAAACACACAGAUCAACAAAAUUUUCCACACUUUUCAAGUAAGUGCAAGCUCCCAGAGUUUAAAGGAAUGAGAGGAUAACAAAGAGAAUAUAAAGAGAAAAAUUCAAAGAAGAAGAAGAGAUAAAGUCCAAAAUUCAUAUAUCCUCCCGUUCAAAUACAACUAUGGAAAUACUUAUACUAGUAAGAAUAUGCUCACAGUUGUCAAAACUAAAUAACAACUUCCCACUAUAAUAAUAAAAAAAAAUUCUCUAGAUAGCUAAGGCAGUUAGAAACAGAAUGCUCAGCAAGUGUAAUCCUUCAGCCAUUUGGAUGGCUUUCUUACGCGACUUGACUUAAGGUUAUCUUGGGGUCGAUUUUCGAUAGCCUCACUUAGCUUUGCCUGGGCCUUUCUUCAGAUUUGAUAGAGCUAGCUGAGUUGGGUUUGCCUAACUAUAAUAUUGAGGUUGUAUCAUAUUGCCUAAAGAAAAUUACAUUACUUUAUAUUUCCGUUACUUAUCAUUAGAGCUGGCAAAAUUUGACACGACUCGAUUACCCGACACAAACACGACACAAAUAAAUGGGUAUGGGUCGUUAAAUUUAACACGAUUAUUAAAUGGGUCGGGUCCGGGUCAACACGAUUUUUUUCAUUGUCGGGUAAGGGUUAAAAUGCUUGACCCAUUUACCCGAUCAAUGACCCGAUUAUAUUUUCUAUUUUAAAAUAAUUUACAUAUUUUUAUAAUUAAAACUCAAAUAUUAGAGAUGAUUUUCUUUUUUUUAUUCUUUAAAAGGGUGAAUAUAAACACAAUGUUUUAUUUAUAAAAUUUUACAUACAUUUAGAGCUUCAAUAGUGUAAAUGUGUAAAAAUUGAUAGACAUGUAUAUUUUAUAAUAUUGAUAUAUAACUUAUCAUACAAACUGGUAAGAGAUAGAUAUCAUACAAACUGGUAAGAGAUAGAGUUUAACCACAACUAUUUUUCUCAUCUGCUUUUUAGAAUUUUCCUAUAAGUGGCAUUUUUUUUUCAUAUUCUCCUAUAAAUUACCUAAGAGUUCAUCCCAACCUUCAAAACUAGCAUGCAAAUCAAAAUAAUUUAGCCAAAUUAAUGCGUUUUCCUAUUAUUGUAAAUAUUAUUCAACAAACAACAUAAAAGAUCUAAAACCCAAUACAAAAAUUCAUAAAUACUUUUUUAAAAUUUUAAAUCAAAAUUAGAUUUUUUUUUAAUUCAAAUCAGUAUCACGAAAUAGUAACUCGAGAUGAAAGUAAAUACUUACAAUGAAAUCACAAACUCAGUUUUUUUCAUCAACACUCAACGACAUAGGUCAAAGGUAAAAUGGGCAACUAACAAAAGGAAACAAGCUAAUUAGAACGUACUUCCACAAAAAUGCUAUAAAAGUGGGUAACUAUCAACGGCCAUGAAUCGACGGAACCACAAGAAAUAUUGACAGUAGUGGUCGAUUGACCAAC
rnacentral:lncRNA from 1 species